GACGUAGGUCGCGAACGUUAUCCGGAAUUAUUGGGCGUAAAGGGUGCGUAGAUGGCUCAGUAAGUUAGCGGUGGUAAAUCGAGGCCUAACCUCGUGGAAGCCGGUAAUACUAUUAGGCUUGAGUGCAGGAGAGGUUAAUGGAACUCCAUGUGGAGCGGUAAAAUGUGUAGAUAUAUGGAAGAACACCAAUCGGCGAAGGCAUUUAACUAUUCUGCUACUGACAUUGAGGCACGAAAGCGUGGGGAGCAAAACGG
rnacentral:rRNA from 1 species